rnacentral:lncRNA from 1 species
AGAGGCGGGAGGCACAGGCAGAGCGCUGCUCAGAAGUCUGGCAGGCUAAUCCAGGGCUCAGGGCGAGCUUGUUCCGGCCCUAAUGAGACUCCCGGGCAUCAGCCAGGCCUGCUUUGUCUCUGGCGGAUGGGGAAGAGGGCGAGACCAACUUUAUUUCCGAAUCUGGAUUGACUCACAGAAGUAGCAUCGCGCUUGAAGGGCACCCCAUCUAUCUGUGGCCCUCGCUGCAUGAAAUUGUAUUGGCUCGCCACUUGCUAUCUGGCUGGGCGCAGCUGGGCCGUAAGUCAUCGGCGAUAACGUUCUUUAUUAUGCCGCCGUGUUUAUGAACUGUGCCUGCAAGGGAGAUGAUAGAAAUAUGCAGCCGUAUGCAAAGGCGGACGGGAGGGGGAGGGGGAGCAUAUGCUAGUUGCUAGGGCAACCAUGGGGCUAUUUUGGGCAUCGGAUUUUUUUUUUUUUUUUUCCUCUCCUGGUGAUAAAAACCAUUUUCUUGGGCUGGCUGGCCUCUCCCCUCCCCCUUCCUGAAUUGAAUAUUUAGGAAAGGAGUGGCUUAAUUUCUUAAUUAAACAUUAUGCUAUCCCCCCUCCCUUGCCUCCUUUCAAAAUGGACGGCAAAAUAGAAGGGUGUUGAUACGUGCUCUUGAGUAGAAGGGGAGGCAGCGUCCUGAUGGAGAGGUGUGAAUAAUUCACUAAUCUUUGCUGAUCCCCGCCGCCUCCCUCUCCACACACCCCCCCCCCUUUUCCCGCCACCGACUUAACUGUGAUAAACUCCCCCACUUCUAGACCUUAGCUUAUUCGCAGACGCUCCAGGUGUUUGUAAGCAAGAGGAAUGCGGAUGAACUCCGGAAGGGGGGAGGCGCCAGGAAGGGUACCAUCAUCCGUGGGCACCAGCAUCCCUGAGAAACAAAAGCCAGGGCGAUGAAGGGUACCCACCCUUCUCCUUCUCCUCCACCCUUGACUCAGAUUGCCCUGUGGGGGUGGGGGAGGGGAAACCUGAACUGAUUAACCUGGUCAACUCCUUGCCCAGCUCCAGCUGCCGGUGAGGCUGAUGGCUUUCUGGCUCUGGGUCUAUGUCAUCUCCCAUAGUAAGAAGGGUACCCAACUGGCAGUUGCAUGGGGACUUGGUGGCAGUGCAAAAUCAGGUGCCUGCUACACAGUGUGGGUCAGAAGCUGGAGCUGGGUUUGGACCGUUUCAGUGAAGUGCCUGAGGAAGGAUGAUGGCGCUGCGCACAUAGGGAUCCCACUGCCCGGACCCUCAGCAUCCUGUUACUCUAUGCUGUUAGAUCUCUGUCUUAGAGAUGUGGGUGCGCGGGAAGUUAACACAGCUGGGGGUGCAGCCUUCAAACGCUCCUCCCAGCCUCUACCCAUCCUUUGCCUGCUACCCACCUGCCUACCCCUGGCAUGUUCUGGGUGGGGAAGCAAAGGAAACGGGAUAUUGUGGUGCUCGGUACCAUGAUGAGGCUGGGGAUAGGUGUGCCCAUGAGUCCUUUUCCUUUUUGGUGUUCAGUUUUCCUAUUCUGUUUACCCUGCCCAGACAUUCCAUCUGGGACAGGUAAGAUGCUGGGGACAACCAGGCAACCCCUCCCCUGCCCCCUUGUCUACUCUGAUGUCAGAUCUAACACUUUCACCUGGGUCUGGAAGCAUCUUACAGGGCCCAGUGGGUUCUGGAAGAUUCCCUGGGUGUUGUAGUGGGUGGAACGGAAUCUACCUGCCUAUGGUACGCGCUUGCUGUGUGGUGGGAACGGACCUGUGCCAUCAAAGCACCGUCUCUGCCUUUAAAAGAUUUAUGUCUUACGCGUGGGUGUUUCGCUUGCCUGUUUGUGUGCAUGUGCACCACACACGUGCCUGGCUCCAGGGAGGUCAAAAGAGGACACCAGGCUGCUUGGAACUGAAGUUACAAAGCUUUGUCAGCCACCUGAGAUGGGUGCUGGGGCCCGAACCAGCUCCUCAGGAAGAGCAGUCAGUGCUCUUAACCACAGAGUCAUCUCUCCAGCCCCUACGCUUUGUUUAUAAAACAAACAUUUGAUUGCACAUUAUCCAAGGAAUAUCUAUGUGUAUAGAGGGGGGAAAAACCCCAGAAACUAUAGAAAAGCCUAGAAGAGCAAACUCAUUAUCUCUGCUUUUCUUUCCCUGCCUGGAAAGGAAAGAUGCUCUCUUUUCUGCCUUUUUAUUCUUGUUUAUUUUUACAAACUUGAAAUCACAUUGUAUCUUGCUCCCCCCUCCCCGCUCCCCCCACCCACCCCGCUCACACUGGAAUUCUAUUCCUUAAAUACCUCCCAACGUAUAUGUCUAUUUCCCUUUAGUGGCUGCAUCCCAGUGAGACAUUUUGCGUGUGAAUAAAUUAUUUUCCAUGUCUUUCUCAGGCUGUGCAAGUGGCAGCUUGUGAUUUCGGCACAAACGGAAGCCCUGCACUUGGAGCCUGCCAGGCAGGGGUGAGCUCCUUUGUCCGUGAGCUCCUUUGUCUUUGGAGCCUGCCUGGCACUGGAGCCAAGGCUGGGAUGAGGAGAAGUCGGUCAGUCAGCCAGCAGAGACUGAAGUUAGCUUCUGCCGUGGCAUUCAGGGAUAACAGACCAAAUGCUCCUCCUGCCCCAGGACAGCUGGCAGCAUUUGGCAUCGUGGGCUGUGUGUGUGUGGGGGGGGGAGUGGGGAGCAAGAGUAAAGCUUCCUGGGAAUUAAUUGAGCUGGAGCUGUCAGAGGAGCCAGUGGGCUGGGCUGGGCUUGGGUUCUGACCACCCAGAGCCAAUCUAGGCUGCUCUGAGAGCUGCCUUUUGCUUAGGGGGACCUGCAGGCAAUGUCCUUCCUGGUGCCAUGGAGAGAAACAGGGCUGGUGUGGAGUCCCAGGAGACAGUUGGGCUGUUUCUUUCCCUCUAAUUUGGGUCCACACACUUGUGCAAUAUGAAGAAUGUCAUGACAUCACCUGGUGGUUCCAAUGACACACUUAGCAGUUCAUUUUCCUUUGCUGACUACCCUUUCUUCUUUAGUAAAGAUUUUAUUGUUUUUUG